rnacentral:lncRNA from 1 species
AUCUUCCACUCCUUGUGCUCUGGUUUGCAGGAAUGCAAACAAUGAAACUGUGAAACUACCAGUCUUAGACCAAGGAUUCUGGAAAGUUCUGUUCAAAUGAGUUGGAGUGGCCUUUAGGCUCCUGCAGGAUGAAAGCAGGGCGAACUAAAGCAUGGGGACUACUAUGCAGAGAACAGUACAAAUACAGUCCUCAGCUGUACAAUUUCGCAGUCGUGUUCUGCACCUGAAGAAACUACCCUUCAUAUUAGAAUAUCUGUCACAUGCAGCUAGAAAGACACAGCAAAAGUAA